GAGGAAAGAGGGAGGCGUGCUUAACACAUGCAAGUCGAACGGAAAGGCUCCUGCUUGCAGGGGUACUCGAGUGGCGAACGGGUGAGUAACACGUGGGUGAUCUGCCCUGCACUUCGGGAUAAGCCUGGGAAACUGGGUCUAAUACCGGAUAGGACCACAUUUUGGAUGGUGUGGUGGAAAGUUUUUCGGUGUGGGAUGAGCUCGCGGCCUAUCAGCUUGUUGGUGGGGUAAUGGCCUACCAAGGCGUCGACGGGUAGCCGGCCUGAGAGGGUGUACGGCCACAUGGGGACUGAGAUACGGCCCAGACUCCUACGGGAGGCAGCAGUGGGGAAUAUUGCACAAUGGGCGCAAGCCUGAUGCAGCGACGCCGCGUGGGGGAUGACGGCCUUCGGGUUGUAAACUCCUGUCGCUAGGGACGAAGCGCAAGUGACGGUACCUGGAGAAGAAGCACCGGCUAACUACGUG
rnacentral:rRNA from 1 species